UUUAGAAUAAAAGCUACAAAAUGUAACUAGAAGAAAAAUAAAGUACAACUCAUAUGCUGUCCCAAAUUUCCCUUUUUUCCCAGUUAACGUUAUCAAAGCUAUGAUAUAUAGCAUCGUAUCUCACUGACCAAAGAACAACAGUAGUGCUAAAUCCUCCGUACUUGUCAAAAUUAUAUAAGUUGAACGCUAUAUGUUUCCCAUCUUCUCGUGACCAUGUCAAUAAACAUGUUUUUAGUUGAUAGUUACUAAGAAACUUCUUACGAACUCCUGGUCUUAAUAUGUAUCCACCUUGAUAAAAGUUGCAUUCGAUGAUUAAAUUUUGUGAGC
rnacentral:lncRNA from 1 species